UGUAAAGAUGGUACCACAAACAACAGA
rnacentral:piRNA from 1 species